rfam:Gaeumannomyces graminis var. tritici R3-111a-1 mitochondrial scaffold supercont1.515, whole genome shotgun sequence.
CUGAGCGGUGUGAGCUGAAAGGUUCACGCACCGUUCUUGUGGGGGGAAAGCCUGUGAGGGCCUACCUAUCCAGAC